GCUCAUUGUAGUCCCAGCUACCAGGGAAGCUGAGGAGGGAGGACUGCUUGAAUCCAGGAGUUCCAGGACAUAGUAUACUAUGCAGAUCAGGUGUCCAUACUAAGUUUGGCAUAGUAUGGUGUGACUUUCUGGCAGUGGGGGACCGCUAGGUUGUCUAAGGAGGUGUGGAUCUGCCUAGGUCAGAGAAGAAGUAGGUAAAAACUCCCCUAAUGAUCAGUAGUGGUAUCAUACCUAUGACCUGUGAGUAGCCACUGCACUCCAGCCUGAGAAACACCGCAAGUCUCUGUCUCU
rnacentral:SRP_RNA from 1 species